rnacentral:rRNA from 1 species
AUGUACAAGGAUGAGUUCAUCUUGACGUACGCCAUCAAGGAGACGGAGCGCAUGGCGGUUGUGAUCCUCAACAACUUCUGCGACCUCAUCGAAGGGGAUGAGGUGGGGGAGACCAGGGAAGUGCUCUUGAGUACUACGGGUAGCCUGAAUCUGUGUAAGGAGCAGGGAGGCGAGGAGUGCCUCAAGUGGCUCCACGGCAAGGAUACCUCCUCCGUCGUUGUAUCAUCUGGAGAUCUAUUAACAUGUUUAUUCAGAAGCAAAUACCAGCAGCUCCUGGAGUACGUCUUUUCCUCUGCUCAUUGCGUGCAUGGAUUCCUUUCACACCCCAAGCAUGUUGUACAACUCCAUGUAGCAGUGAUUAGAUCGACUAGGUCACAGCAAGGUCCAUCGGAGGUAAGCCAUGUAGAUCGAAGUGAAAAAGUAGGACAAUGGAAAUUGCAAGCAAGCGCUACACGAAGAAAGCAAGGAGAGCAGACGGGCCGCCGACUAACGAUCUUUCCAAAGCCUUUGUUUCUCUUUGAGAUAAAGUCAUCCUCCUAUACACGGGAAUAA